rnacentral:rRNA from 1 species
UACGGGGGGUGCAAGCGUUGUUCGGAAUUACUGGGCGUAAAGGGUUCGUAGGCGGCCAAUUAAGUCAGACGUGAAAUCCCUCAGCUUAACUGGGGAACUGCGUCUGAUACUGGAUGGCUUGGAUUCGGGAGAGGAAUGCGGAAUUCCAGGUGUAGCGGUGAAAUGCGUAGAUAUCUGGAGGAACACCGGUGGCGAAGGCGGCAUUCUGGACCGAUAUUGACGCUGAGGAGCGAAAGCCAGGGGAGCAAACGGG